AGCUCACAUCCAGAGAAAGAACAAAGCCAUGUCAAAACCGCCUGUGAUUCCUUGAGUGUUUUUCCAGCUACCCACCACCUGCCCACCGUCUCCUCUCGGACCUCAGCUUGGGCUAGAAUCUGACAAUUGGUGCUGUAAGCAGGAUCAUGAGAUUUAGAUGUGGCGGUGCCUCUCUUGCAGCAACAUUUGGCAGCAUGCAGUUGGGCCAUCAAUGAAUCCAAGGUCCAAGGGUCUGGAUUAUCUGCCAAAUUAUUGGAAGUUUCCUGUCUAGGUAAGAUGAUGGCCAUACCAGAGGCUAUUAUUGACAAAAUUCAGGCAUAGCCCUGGCCCACCACGGUGAAGCAGCUACAAACUUUUGUGGGCUUCCUGGGAUACUGGGGGGCAUUUCUGCCCCAUUUAGCUCAAAUGACAAAACUGUUGCACGGUUAACAAAGAAGAGAGCUACCUGGAAUUGGGAUAUGGCUGAGACCGCUUUCCUGGCAGCCAAGUGGGCUAUUCAGCAGGCACAAGCCCUAUGGGUAGUUGGCCAGGGGCACCUGUUUGAGCUGGAUGUGCAUGUGAGCACAGAUGGUUUCAGUUGGGGCCUGUGGCAGCAUACAGAGUGCCUGAGAACACUAGUAGGCUUUUGGUCUUAACUGUGGAAAGGAGCUGAGCUCCAACAGUCCUUGAUAGAGAAACAGCUAGCAGCUGUAUAUGCAGCAUUUCAGUCUUGUGAAAGUGUGACAGGAUGGGCUACAGUCAUCAUGUGGAUGGCUUACCCAAUAGUGGGAUGGAUGUGUUCAUGGAUAAUGCCCCCCUGGACUGGGAUGGCACAGACAUCUACUUUGGCAAAGUGGGGCACCUACUUGGAGCAGCAAAGUUUGCUGAGUACAAGACCCUUGGCAGCAGAAUUGCAAGAGGUCUUGGGACCUAUAGUCCUAAUGCAAGAGAAGGCUAUAGGGCCUGGGGCACCCCUAGACCCCAAGCCAUCACCGUUUAAGGAAGGGUACCCCCCAUUCCUGAUGGGGCAUGGUACACAGAUGGGUCUAGCCAAGGAUCUAAUGCUGCCUGGACCGCUGUUGCAGUCCAACCUAGUACAGACACCAUAUGGUUUGAAACCAGGUGUGGGCAAAGUAGCCAAUGGGCUGAACUUACAGCAGUAUAGAUGGUGAUCACUAAGGAGCAGAUAUCUAUGGUGAUUUGUACCGAUAGCUGGGCAGCCUACCGAGGCUUAACCUUGUGGUUAACUACUUGGAAAAUACAAAAUUGGCUAGUCAGCCACUGACCUAUGUCAUGGAGCCAAGUGAUGUGGCAAGACCUCUGGGAAAUGGAUCAUCAGAAAGAUGUAAUUAUUUAUCAUGUGUCAGGCCAUAUGCCUUUGGCCACCUUUGGCAAUGAUGAGGCAGAUGUCUUGGCCAAGGUCCAAUGGUUAGUCGGCACCAACACAAGAUGUGGCCUUCUGGCUACACCAGAAACUGGGACAUGCCAGGGGCAAACUGAUGUAACAGGGCAAUAAGUGUUGGGGUCUGUCCCUGCCCAUGCAAGGUAUUUGGGAGGCUCGUCAGAAAUGCCCAGUAUGUGCUUGGUCAUACCCUAAAUGGAGGCAGCUGCCCACUUUUACACAAGUGACAACAGGGCGAGUGAUCUUGACCAGGUGGUAAGUAGACUACAUCGGUCCGCUGCCAAAAUUGCAAGGGUAUACACAUGUGCUAACAGCUGUGGACAUGGCCACAAGCCUGUUGUACAUCUACCCUUGCAGGGUGGCCAACCAACAGCACAUCCUCCGGGUCCUGCAACACUUAUGUGCCCUGUAUGGUUGCCCUCUGGCCAUAGAGAGUGAUAGAGCACCCAUUUCACUGGACAACAGGUACAACAAUGUGCACAACAAAUGGACAUAAAGUGGGGAUUCCAUGUGCCAUACAACCCACAAGCUGUGGGUAUGAUUGAGCAAUAUAAAGGGCUCUUGAAGAAUGGGUUACACUUGCAUGUCACACCCGUCUUUGCAGUGCUGGAGUUCCAAGCUGGACCUGGUGGUUCAAACCUUGAAUGAACAGCCAUGGAAAGACCGCCCAGCCCUGGUGGAGGCUUUAUUACACUGGGCCACCACCCCUAUUCAGUUGCAGAUACACACUAAGGAUGACCUCCUCCGACCAGGUAUGGGGACGAACGGUAACCUUUUGUUGCUUGCCCCAAUGCCCCUGAAGGGAGGGGAACAGAAAACCUGGCUCUGGCCAUGGACCCUCCAGGCUCCCCACUGCUGGUGGUUGGCCGUUGUAGCUCCCUGUGGGGAAGACCUACAGUAUGACUUGCAUGUCACUCCUUGGGCAUUCAAUACAUGUCACCCUUGGUUGAUUGUUCUUAGGGCAACAGCCAGGGAAGAAACGCUCCUCUGGGGGACAUAAGUACUGUCUGUGUGGCCUAUUAUGAGCUUCCCCUUGACUUUGGCAUAGAUACCGGACCCAUAGGAACCAUGGGGAGCUGAGAAGGUGUGGUACCAUCGCCCAGGGCAGAAGCUCUUGGCAGCUGCAUUGUUAUCCAUGGAUGAAAAGUUAGCCUGUAUUUUGCCUGAGGGACGUCACUUACCUCUGUUAGUAGCUGUGCCUGCUCUGUCAUUUUGGCCAUAGGUUAACAUGCUCCAACUGCAUUGUAAACUGCGCCCACACCUGUGCUGAGGUGAUCAAUGUUUCCAACUUUCGGGUCUGCACUGCCCUUCCAGCAGCAGCUGCAGAUGACUUGCCUUGGCAUAUACAUUCAGUGUCUACAGAGAACUGGACAUGGCUGGAGACUUGGGGUCCCGUGGUUGACAUCUGGAAUGCAACGCAGCAAGCUUUGGACAAAGGACGCUGCAAGAUCCAUGGUGCUCCCAUCAUGUGGCUGGCCCAUAGCAUUUAUGAUGGCUGGGGCUGGCUAGCGGGGGAACAUGUAGUACCCCCAGCCCAGGUGUCGCAGAGCAUAGAGCAACACUGGGGUAACACCACUGUGGGAUAGGUACCCAUCACAGCCUGUGUAAACAUAACACAUGUCACCAUACUGAAGGUAUGCUGGAACAAGCAGCCCCCAAGUUUGGGCCCCAAGGGACUUUGUGCCCCCUGGGAGUUUAUGGGUCUGUGGGCACACAGGGUGGCCUUACCUACCAGUGAACUGGACGGAAUGUUGGAACUGGGGGUGGCCACUGUUCUCUCCACAUUGCCCAGACACUGCAUAACUGGAAGGCGCUACACUCUCAUUUUUUGUGAGUGCGACGAGCUCCCCAGUGGUUCUACCCCUUGACAGUGACUAUCCCUGCGGCGGGUGUCACAACUGUAGAAGCACAAGUUACUGCUCUUGCAGAGCACACCACUCGGGCUCUGAAUUACACCCAAGUGGCCCUCCUCCUGUUAAUGGAUGAGGCUGGUCAGAUGAGAAAGGUGGUAUUGCAAAACUGAAUGGCCUUAGACAUAGUAACCUGCUGCACAAGGAGGCACCUGUGCCCUUUUAGGAACACAAUGUUGUACCUUUAUCCCUGACAAUUGGCAGAACAUAACAGCAGCCCUGCAAGAGGUCUCAUGGGAGAUUAAGGUGGUGGAGAGCCUUACUGACAACCCCCUGCAGAGAUGGUGGGCAUCUCUGGGCUGUGGCCUACGCUGGGCCCUUACAGUCCUAAGUAGCAUAGCUGGGAUCCUGGUAAUGAGCUGUUGCUCUCUGUAGUGUUGUGGGUUAUGGAUUCAGGGCUCCACCCUAUGGGCACGUAUCCCUACCUGAAAGACUCCUCUCAGCCUAGGGGAUGGAGUGUAAGGGAAAUGGCUGCAUUUUAGUCAGGAGUAGGCUGAGGCAGCCUUCUGGCACAGCAUGACUCAGUGGGUUUGGAACGCAGGCACACAACUCUACACAUUAUGUAACCAUGCCACGUGAGGCACAUUAGGUGACCAUUCACAUGAGCCUGUGCUUGGCUGGGAUCCAUUAUUGUCUCUAAAAGGUUUAACUACCCUGCUGAUGCUGUACAUAUGGCUCGCGCCUAGAGAGAGAAUAACGCCAUGUCAAAACUGCCUACGAUUCCUCAAGUUUUUCCAGCUACCUGCCACCAGCCCACCAACUCCCUUUGGACCUCAGUUUGGGCUAGAAUCUGACAAACAGUAACAAAUAAUUCUUUUUUCUUGAGUUCAAACCAUGAAUAAUUAUUUACUCUGCAUUGUAAUUAUAGGGUUGUCAUUCAGAAGACAAAGUCUAGGCAAAUGGCAGGUAUCUUCUAAGGACUAACAUUUUUAAGUAAUAAUGCUCAUUUAUAGACAUUGCUGGUAGGCUCAGGAGCUGUUAUUUUGUUGAUCUUCAUUUUGUUAUUUUCUUAUCAUCAAAUGUUUUAUUUAUAACACUAUUAUAUUUUUUUCUUUCUUUCUUUAAAAGAUGUAUUUCCUCAGGAAGGAAGGUUUAGGACUAACUGAAAACUCCCAUUUCGUAGGUAGAUGAUGAACUGAGAUAAUGGUUAAGUGACUAGUUAUAAAGUCUAACCCAGUAGAAGUUUCCAAAGUCUCUCUGUGAAUUGUUUUGUUAGCUAUUUAUGAAAAUUAUGGUAGACAAAACAUUGAAAAUAAAACUGCAGGGCCACAGAACACCUUCUGGUUAUAAAUACUUGAACUUUAUCUGGGGUUAUUUUGUGUGUAUGUUUUCAUGCCAAGGGAAAAACUCCACAAUCCUAAUAGAUGGAGUUGUUUUCCUACUAACCAUAUAUCCAGUAAUGGACUUUACCCUCUUUCUUCUUUUUGAUACAGAGCAAUUACACAUACAUAUGUGUGUUGCUUCUGAAAAGAUCAUGCACCUUGCUUCCUGCAGAUUGGGUAUCCAUGGAUACCGCAAAGAGUUUCCAAAGAAACACUGCCUAGAAUUUUCACCAUGCCAGCCUCGAAGGCCUUCAAAUGGAAAGUGACAUUUGAAUUAAAGGGACAAGCAUCAUUGCUCCACACCAAAACACUGGGCAGGUUUGCAGAAAUCGUAUUCUUUUUUGCACUAUUCAAUGUAAAGGCAGACAGGGUGGAUUAUUUAUCCUAUAAAAGGGAAAAGAGAGGAAGAAAUCGGGUUGAUAUAUUCCCUACCUGAGGCUCAAUGACCCCAGUUCCUAUUUAUAUUUCUCACCUGAUGAUACAUGCUUUUACAAUAAAGGUCUCAAGAUUUAUAAGUCAGACAGGGAAAAAUAUACAAAGGAAUACAAGUUGCAUUUUUAUAUGCCCCGGUUUAUAUCUCUAAAUGACAAAAAGUAUUGGGAAGAGGGGCAGAGCCUAUUAGUAGGUUUACAAGCCUAUGAUUAGAAGUCUGAAGCAGUCUGCAGUGAAAUUCAAAAUCUGGCUCAAGAGAGUAAAUCUGAAUAAGGCAGCAAUUUCAUCUGGGGAGAGAAUACAUCACUAGUACAUUUUCUUUUCUGGAUUCUUAUCACUAAAUCAGCUGAAGAAUCUGUUCUUAAAAGCAAUCAUAAUGAAAUUUUCUAUUAUUCAAUGAACCUAGCCUUCGGGGAUAUCGGUAAUUAAGUCAGAAUAAGAUGAUUUUAAAUCUCCAAUAAAUAUUCUAAUAUUUUAGGUGUUUAAUAUUUAUUUAUUUAGUUCAUAAACA